UUGGAUAGUGGACGUUACUUGCAGAAUAAGCCCCGGCUAACUUUGUGCCAGCAGCCGCGGUAUACAGAGGGUGCGAGCGUUAAUCGGAUUUACUGGGCGUAAAGCGUGCGUAGGCGGCUUUUUAAGUCGGAUGUGAAAUCCCUGAGCUUAACUUAGGAAUUGCAUUCGAUACUGGGAAGCUAGAGUAUGGGAGAGGAUGGUAGAAUUCCAGGUGUAGCGGUGAAAUGCGUAGAGAUCUGGAGGAAUACCGAUGGCGAAGGCAGCCAUCUGGCCUAAUACUGACGCUGAGGUACGAAAGCAUGGGGAGCAAACAGGAUUAGAUACCCUGGUAGUCCAUGCCGUAAACGAUGUCUACUAGCCGUUGGGGCCUUUGAGGCUUUAGUGGCGCAGCUAACGCGAUAAGUAGACCGCCUGGGGAGUACGGUCGCAAGACUAAAACUCAAAUGAAUUGACGGGGGCCCGCACAAGCGGUGGAGCAUGUGGUUUAAUUCGAUGCAACGCGAAGAACCUUACC
rnacentral:rRNA from 1 species